rnacentral:rRNA from 1 species
AUUGAACGCUGGCGGCAUGCCUUACACAUGCAAGUCGAACGGCAGCACGGGAGCAAUCCUGGUGGCGAGUGGCGAACGGGUGAGUAAUAUAUCGGAACGUGCCCAGUCGUGGGGAUAACGUAGCGAAAGUUACGCUAAUACCGCAUACGAUCUAAGGAUGAAAGCGGGGGAUCGCAAGACCUCGCGCGAUUGGAGCGGCCGAUAUCAGAUUAGGUAGUUGGUGAGGUAAAGGCUCACCAAGCCAACGAUCUGUAGCUGGUCUGAGAGGACGACCAGCCACACUGGAACUGAGACACGGUCCAGACUCCUACGGGAGGCAGCAGUGGGAAUUUUGGACAAUGGACGCAAGUCUGAUCCAGCCAUUCCGCGUGCAGGAUGAAGGCCCUCGGGUUGUAAACUGCUUUUGUACGGAACGAAAGGUUUGUCUUAAUACGAUGAGCUCAUGACGGUACCGUAAGAAUAAGCACCGGCUAACUACGUGCCAG